rnacentral:rRNA from 1 species
GACGAACGCUGGCGGCAGGCUUAACACAUGCAAGUCGAGCGAGCGGCGGACGGGUGAGUAAUGUGGGGGAAACUGCCUGAUGGAGGGGGAUCACUACUGGAAACGGUCGCUAAUACCACAUACCAUCAGAUGUGCCCAGAUGGGAUUAGCUAGUAGGUGGGGUAAUGGCUCACCUAGGCGACGAUCCCGAGCUGGUCUGAGAGGAUGACCAGCCACACUGUGACUGAGACACGGUCCAGACUCCUACGGGAGGCAGCAGUGGGGAAUAUUGCACAAUGGGCGCAAGCCUGAUGCAGCCAUGCCGCGUGUGUGAAGAAGGCCUUCGGGUUGUAAAGCACUUUCAGCGGGGAGGCGUUACUCACAGAAGAAGCACCGGCUAACUCCGUGCCAGCCGCCGCGGUAAUUC